rnacentral:rRNA from 1 species
UGGGUAACCUGCCUCAAAGAGGGGAAUAGCCUCCCGAAAGGGAGAUUAAUACCGCAUAAUAUGUUUAAGUCGCAUGACUUUAACAUCAAAGGAUUUUCUUUUAGAACUUCCACUUUGAGAUGGACCCGCGGCGCAUUAGCUAGUUGGUGAGGUAACGGCUCACCAAGGCAACGAUGCGUAGCCGACCUGAGAGGGUGAUCGGCCACAUUGGAACUGAGACACGGUCCAGACUCCCGUAGGGA